rnacentral:rRNA from 1 species
GACUGAGUGGCGGACGGGUGAGUAACGCGUGGGUAACCUGCCUUAUACAGGGGGAUAACAGUUGGAAACGACUGCUAAUACCGCAUAAGCGCACAGCUUCGCAUGAAGCAGUGUGAAAAACUCCGGUGGUACAAGAUGGACCCGCGUCUGAUUAGCUGGUUGGUGAGGUAACGGCCCACCAAGGCGACGAUCAGUAGCCGGCCUGAGAGGGUGAACGGCCACAUUGGGACUGAGACACGGCCCAAACUCC